GGUACAGUGAGUGGAUCAGAUACAGCAGUGAUUAGCAGUGAUUAGCAUGGUGGUGGUGUAUGAGGUGUUAGUGUGUGUUGAGCUGGUGGUACAGUGAGUGGAUCAGAUACAGCAGUGAUUAGCAGUGAUUAGCAUGGUGGUGGUGUAUGAGGUGUUAGUGAGUGUUGAGCUGGUGGUACAGUGAGUGGAUCAGAUACAGCAGUGAUUAGCAGUGAUUAGCAUGGUGGUGGUGUAUGAGGUGUUAGUGAGUGUUGAGCUGGUGGUACAGUGAGUGGAUCAGAUACAGCAGUGAUUAGCAUGGUGGUGGUGUAUGAGGUGUUAGUGUGUGUUGAGCUGGUGGUAUAGUGAGUGGAUCAGAUACAGCAGUGAUUAGCAGUGAUUAGCAUGGUGGUGGUGUAUGAGGUGUUAGUGAUGUUGAGCUGGUGGUACAGUGAGUGGAUCAGAUACAGCAGUGAUUAGCAGUGAUUAGCAUGGUGGUGGUGUAUGAGGUGUUAGUGAGUGUUGAGCUGGUGGUACAGUGAGUGGAUCAGAUACAGCAGUGAUUAGCAUGGUGGUGGUGUAUGAGGUGUUAGUGUGUGUUGAGCUGGUGGUAUAGUGAGUGGAUCAGAUACAGCAGUGAUUAGCAGUGAUUAGCAUGGUGGUGGUGUAUGAGGUGUUAGUGAGUGUUGAGCUGGUGGUACAGUGAGUGGAUCAGAUACAGCAGUGAUUGGCAGUGAUUAGCAUGGUGGUGGUGUAUGAGGUGUUAGU